rnacentral:rRNA from 1 species
UACGUAGGGUGCAAGCGUUGUCCGGAAUUAUUGGGCGUAAAGAGCUCGUAGGCGGUUCGUCGCGUCGGCUGUGAAAACCUGAGGCUCAACCUCAGGCCUGCAGUCGAUACGGGCGGACUUGAGUACUGCAGGGGAGACUGGAAUUCCUGGUGUAGCGGUGAAAUGCGCAGAUAUCAGGAGGAACACCGGUGGCGAAGGCGGGUCUCUGGGCAGUAACUGACGCUGAGGAGCGAAAGCCGUGGGGAGCGAACAGG